GGGCGCCGAGCAGCCACCACAGAAACAGGAGGAGAGGAGAAGAGAAGAGAGGAGAGGAGAGGAGAGGAGAGGAGAGGUGGAAGAGAGGAGAGGAGGAAGAGAGCAGGAAGGAGUGCGCUCACCUUGGGAGGAGCAAGUCAAGAUGAGGAGUAAACUGAUGUAGAAGUGGCUCCACACACAGACGCACACACACACACACACACAAACACGCUGUCUCUAUACAGCAUGGAGGAGAUGUGCAAGCUGGAUUAGUGAUGGAUGCAGUCUGUACUGUGAGACCGGAGGAGGAAGUAAGUUUGUUCAGAUGGACGUGGAGACUAACAGAGGGCAAUAGGAGUGGGAGCCGGAGUGAGGAUUCUCAGACAGAGGCGCUGAAUGGGCUGCAGUGGCAGGGACUGGAUGUUUGGUCAGGCUGGAGGGGAAGCUGAAGAGAGCACUCAGAGGACCUCAGACUGGGCCGAAGGUUUACCUUCCAACAGGACAAUGACCCUAAGCACACUGCCCAGACCAUGCCGGAGUGGCUCAGGGACAACUCUGUGAACAUCCUUGCCCUGACUUGAACCCACUCAAACAUCUCUGGAGAGACCUGAAGAUGGCUGUCCACCGACAGUCCCCAACUGACGGAGCUUCAGAGGUUCUGCAGAGAAAAAUGGCAGAAUCCCCAAAUCCAGUAUCACCAUCAAAGCCUAAGUCAAUGAGGAGCGUUGGAGGGAGUCUGGAUGCUGGCCCAAGGAGUGAGAGCAUCUGUGCUGGACACAACCCCAAUACACUGGACCUGCUCAACCAUUACACAGAUUUGAGACCUUGCUGUUAAGAUGAAAGAUGUGUGUUCAUAUGCAUGUACAACAUGAUGUUUGGAGGGCUUGCUGUUCUUACUGAAUAUGUGCUGGCAAUACGUCUGGAGCACUGGGCACACGCUUAGUGUUACCGGUACAAGGACAGAGGACUGUGCUGUUUCAUGUUGUGGUUGUCGUCCUGGGUAUUAAAGUCUCAGCUAAUUCUGUCAUUUUGUCUGCGCUGUAUCCAAAGCAGUCAAUUUGCUAAGUGUAUGUAGGCCCGAGCAACAGCCCCAGUUCAGAAGUCACUCCUGGGCCCCAGGCCUCACAUGCAGUAACACCGCCCCCUCUGGACUGGAGCAUGGGACAGGUACAGACUUAUAACUAACUCUUAGACAUUACCAUACCUAUGGCCAAUCAACAAAACUGAUGACUUUUGAGGGCUGUCUUCAAAAAAUAUCCGUGAAAGGUACCUAAGUAAAGAUAAGCAGGUCUUUUAAAUGUUUGGAUAUUUUCUUAGAUGUUGAUGGACCAGUCCAAUUAUGUGUAAAUACAGGCUUUUUGCAGCUCUUUGAUUGCUAGCCAUACUCUUUUCUGCUAUGACAUAAUUUGCUUUGUUGUUUUCUUCAAUAGCGCUCCAAUGACAUCAUUGUGUUGAAACUGAACAAAAGGCAUUGGGAAAAAAAGAAUAUGAGAGGUUCAGGAACGACCAUUACAUGAAUUGGAAAUAUUAUCCAGAGCAGGGAAAAGCUAUGAAUGUCUUUCUCCUAAUAAGUGUUUGCAUUUGAUCUGUAAUGUGGUGAUUAACUGUGUUGACUCUAUAGAACCUGCUGUUGUUCCUGUUUAAAUGGACCGAUAGGCUGCCAAGAUAAUCUGUAAACAUUUUUGUUGAGUGGUGGCACUCUCCUCUAAUUAGUGUGCUGGAUGCAAGAUUAGGCCUUGUAAUUAAUUGAUUAGACGUCUUGGGGCAUGGGUAUAUCAGUUCAAUCUAGACACACUGGUAUACCGGUCGAGCACAUCCCAUCCGAAUAGAAAAUCCAAGAUCUUGACAACAAACUGGAAAGUAAGGACUGUGGUGCACCAGGUUUCACCCUAUCACUUUUUCAACUCUUUUCUUUCUUUCUGUCUGAAGUCAGGUGUUUGGUGUGGCAUAUGUCAGCGUCUUACCUGUCUAGGCAUCCCGGCGUCCCUGCUGUCCUGGGAGUCAGCCAAGCGAUGUCAAUUAGCCGUAAGCCAAUGCCAUGACGCGCUCGGGCUGUACCAGGGCUACUGUAUCAUGUUCUGGCUCCCGCAGAGCGGGGCGCAUCUGCGCGGCACCAGGACGAGCGACACCGUUUACAUGGCUUCAACAGGCUCAUGUUCGGGCGUCUUUCUGAUGCGCCAUGAUAAACCCACACACUACAUACAAGCCAGAAAGGCGAGCCAGAACCCCCAGCUCCAGUUGCUCUCCCGCUAACAUCCCCUCCACACGGUUCCCCUGAUAUCACUCUCUCGUUUUGUCUCCACCACUCUCACAACAAACUCUCUCUUUCGGCCAUUUAUACAAUGUUUUUUCUCUGUAGAUGUCUUUGUUACAUUUUUUUCUCAUAUUCUGAAGAUUUGCCAUUGAUCGUUAUGUAGUGAGAUAAUUGUGGCAACUUUUGAUCUUCUUUGAUUAUAAAACUUGUACUUUGAGAACAAAAAAUGGGAUCUUAAAUAUAUUCUCUAUAGAUGUUUCAGUAGAAUUUAUUCCAUGUUUUUCCAUGUGAAAACAAAUAAUAGUUUUACAUAUGUUUUUUUGUUUUUCAAAUGAAGCAGUUUCAUAAAGCAUUUUCAUAAGGCACAUUUAAUUUGGUUUUUAGGUUCAAGUUUUGGAACUGCAAUAAAUCUUUCCUAUCCUCUCUUUGGGAAACACCAUUCGUCUCUAUGGAGCAUCCGAGAUCCCUCUAUUAGUAAUCUGAUCUGCUCUACCAGUUUGGUGUGCAAAGGUGAGACAAUGUAGAGACAGAAGGCAAUGAAUAUGUCUUCAUCUGUAGACAUCUAAAAUGGGAAUCCAGCUGUUUGUUUGUUUAAAUUGUUGUACGCUGUCACACUGGUGCAUGUUUGUGUAUGUGUACAUUCUGUUGGAGUGACAUUGUGGGUCAGUCAGAACUCAGAAGGUUGUACCUUAAACACAAGCUGCCCUUGACCUCAUCGAGUGUUCAAUGGAGGCUUACCUCCAGGACAAUCAAAAGGUUGUGGGUGUGUGCCGUAUCCAUGCCGCGGGAGCACAAGAAAGAAAAUCUCUUAAUUCUGAGGUAUUGUUCCCUUAAUCCCCCUGUCCAUCACACAUCAGUAAGUGUUUCUUUUCUGGCCGUCCAUCAGGGAGUAAGGAGGCAACUUUCAUCUGGGAUC
ensembl:lncRNA